CAACUCUAAUGUCUCCUCAGUUAUAGAUACAUCUUUUACCUUUUACUAAAAAUUUCCAUUGAGAGUCAUAAUGUAAUGAGUAUUACCUUAUUUUUUUCCAACUCAGUUUUAAAACAGUUG
rfam:Schistosoma mansoni strain Puerto Rico chromosome 6, complete genome